UGAUUACCUACACCUAUAAUAGCGAGCCU
rnacentral:sRNA from 1 species